GGGGCUGACUGGAUUUGACAGCAAGCGCGUUAAAUAGUAAGCAUGUCGAGCAUUGUAUUUUAGCUCGUAAAUAUCAAAAUGCAAUUUUUUAAAUGGCGAAAAUAAUUACGCUUUAGCUGCUUAAUUUAUAUAAUUACGUAAGCUUUUGUCUCUUUUAUAGGACCUCUUGAUUCCUAUAGAUUAUGAGGCAUAAUAAAUUUCAAGAUAGUUGGUUUAUUGCUUUUAUAAACUAGCGAAACUUUAAAAAGCUAAGGAUUA
rnacentral:tmRNA from 1 species